rnacentral:rRNA from 1 species
UACGGAGGGUGCAAGCGUUAUCCGGAUUCACUGGGUUUAAAGGGUGCGUAGGUGGGCAGUUAAGUCAGUGGUGAAAUCUCCGAGCUUAACUCGGAAACUGCCAUUGAUACUAUCUGUCUUGAAUAUCGUGGAGGUAAGCGGAAUAUGUCAUGUAGCGGUGAAAUGCUUAGAUAUGACAUAGAACACCAAUUGCGAAGGCAGCUUACUACCCGAAUAUUGACACUGGGGCACGAAAGCGUGGGGAUCAAACAGG